UAAUGUUUCCACAAAUGCUACUAAUACUGAUAACAUUACACAAUCACUUAUAUAUAUAAAUAAUCAACUCGAAUCAGGUGAGCUUCAUAAUCCGGUGGGUUACACCUCUCGUGUAGAGAAUUAUACUAAUCGUCUCAAUCAUAACAACCGUAAUCACAAUAAUACUGGCACAGGUGCUGGCACGGGCACUGAUACUGCCACUACCACUACCACUGCUACUAGUAAUGAUAGCACAAAUGACACUGUAGAAAGUUCUAAUACAAACAAUGCAAACAGCAGACUCACAACAGAAAAUAACAUUGUAGUAAAUCCAACACUUUUUGCCGAAAUAUUGAUAAAUAGAAAUCCAAACAAUACAUUAAAUAUGGAGAUAAUAAAUGUAACUAAUGCCGAUAUACGUAAUCAACUUUUAAAUUUGAAUUUCAGACAAAUAACUCCAAACGCUUUUUCUAAUUUAAUUACAAAUUUUCUUAACGACCAAAAUACAGGCACAGGCACAGGAACAGGAACAGGCACCGGUACUAAUAGUACUGCUGUUCAGGACAACGUUCUUACCGCUACUGAUCCUAAUUCUACAACUAAUCCUAAUGCUACUAUUAAUAAUACUGUUAGGACGGCACUACAAACAAACAUUAAUACCAUACGUCGUAACGUUACUAUGAAUCACAUGUAUUUUCACGACGAUCUUCAGGAGUUUUUAUAUAUUUCUCAUGAUGAAUAUUCACCAAGUGAAGAUUUUAAUAUAUUCCAAUCAGAAAAUAUUAACACCACUUCUACCACAACAGAUGUUAAUACAAACACACAUGCUACUCCUAACAACAAUAAUUUUACUAACACUAACGAUAUGAAUCAUGGCCCUAAUUCUACAACAGAAGUAACGAUAAUAGAAGACCACGAUCGAAUAGAUACUACUACUAAUUUAACUCAACAAAAAUCUGCUUUUGUUCCAAUUUCUAAUUUGAAUAACAUAUUUUUAAAUAUUAAAAACAAUCAUAACGAUGCUAAUAUAGGUGGUGCAAUUGAUUUUUUUUUAAAAGUAAUAAAACUGUUAAGUCUUAUAAUGGAUUUGAAUCAUCCUUUUAAAGAAAUCAAUAGUUUCUUUUUUUCAAAUGCGAAAACGUUAGAUUUUACUUCUUAUGUUGCAGGUGAACAAAACGUAGGUUCUAAUAAUAUGAGUGAUGAGGAUAGCUCAAGUAAUAGCAAUUCUGACGAAGAUACAAAUGAUGAAUAUGUUUAUAAUGGAUCAUUAGGGGAAUAUAAUAAUAGAAAUAUUUUAAACAACAACGAAAUGGGAUUACAUUCAGUUGAUUUAAAAACAGAAAAAAAAUGAUAUUUUAGUAAGUACUAGCACUAUUGUUGAUGGUGUUAACGUAUCAUGUAAAACAACAAACGUGGCUAGUACAACAAACGUGGCUAAUACAACAAACGUGGCUAGUACAACAA
ensembl:lncRNA